rnacentral:rRNA from 1 species
UGUGUAUCAGUACAUGGCAUAUCAAUAAGCGGAGGAAAAGAAACUAACAAGGAUUCCCUUAGUAACGGCGAGUGAAGCGGGAAGAGCUCAAAUUUGAAAUCUUCAAGGUUCUACCUUGACGAAUUGUAGUUUAUAGAAGUGUUUUCUGUUAGUAGAGUGGCAAAAGUUCUUUGGAAUAGGACAUCAUAGAGGGUGAGAAUCCCGUAUUUGGUCAUUCUUUCUAGCUUUGUGAUACACUUUCAACGAGUCGGAUUGUUUGGGAAUGCAGUCCAAAAUGGGUGGUAAAUUUCAUCUAAAGCUAAAUAUUGGCGAGAGACCGAUAGCGAACAAGUACCGUGAGGGAAAGAUGAAAAGAACUUUGAAAAGAGAGUUAAACAGUACGUGAAAUUGUCAGAAGGGAAGCGUUUGACACCAGUGUUGUUUUUCCGAAAAUCAAUUACGAAUGUUUUAUUUUUGAGAAGUUAUGACUUCAUCGGCUUGCUUCUCUCUUUAUGAAACUUUCUUAAUGCACUUUUCGGUUAACAAGUCAACAUCAAUUUCUUUUGUUGUAAAAGGGUAUGAGGAAGGUGGCUUUCUUUUCGGAGAAAGUGUUUAUAGCCUUGUACCUCUGCAAUCGGAGAGAUUGAGGUCUGCAGCGUAGAUCCUUCGGGGUUAGAUACAUUUGUGCUAAGUUAUAGCUUUUCAUAGACAACUUGUUGACUAUGUUUAGUCUUGUAGCUUACUCGCUUAUGCUAUUUUACCUACGCUUAGGAUGUUGACAGCAGUAUAGACUGU